AGAGUUUGAUCCUGGCUCAGAUUGAACGCUGGCGGCAUGCCUUACACAUGCAAGUCGAACGGUAACAGGUCUUCGGAUGCUGACGAGUGGCGAACGGGUGAGUAAUACAUCGGAACGUGCCCGAUCGUGGGGGAUAACGAAGCGAAAGCUUUGCUAAUACCGCAUACGAUCUACGGAUGAAAGCAGGGGACCGCAAGGCCUUGCGCGAACGGAGCGGCCGAUGGCAGAUUAGGUAGUUGGUGGGAUAAAAGCUUACCAAGCCGACGAUCUGUAGCUGGUCUGAGAGGACGACCAGCCACACUGGGACUGAGACACGGCCCAGACUCCUACGGGAGGCAGCAGUGGGGAAUUUUGGACAAUGGGCGAAAGCCUGAUCCAGCCAUGCCGCGUGCAGGAUGAAGGCCUUCGGGUUGUAAACUGCUUUUGUACGGAACGAAAAGACUCUGGUUAAUACCUGGGGUCCAUGACGGUACCGUAAGAAUAAGCACCGGCUAACUACGUGCCAGCAGCCGCGGUAAU
rnacentral:rRNA from 1 species